rnacentral:rRNA from 1 species
CCAGACUCCUACGGGAGGCAGCAGUGGGGAAUAUUGCACAAUGGGGGAAACCCUGAUGCAGCGACGCCGCGUGAGUGAAGAAGUAUUUCGGUAUGUAAAGCUCUAUCAGCAGGGAAGAUAAUGACGGUACCUGAGUAAGAAGCCCCGGCUAACUACGUGCCAGCAGCCGCGGUAAUACGUAGGGGGCAAGCGUUAUCCGGAUUUACUGGGUGUAAAGGGAGCGUAGACGGCAUGGCAAGUCUGAAGUGAAAGCCCGGGGCUCAACCGCGGGACUGCUUUGGAAACUGUUAAGCUGGAGUGCAGGAGGGGCAGGCGGAAUUCCUGGUGUAGCGGUGAAAUGCGUAGAUAUCAGGAGGAACACCGGCGGCGAAGGCGGCCUGCUGGACUGAAACUGACGUUGAGGCUCGAAAGCGUGGGGAGCAAACAGGAUUAGAUACCCCGGAGAC